rnacentral:rRNA from 1 species
GACGGAGGGGGCAAGCGUUGUCCGGACUCACUGGGCGUAAAGGGUGCGUAGGCGGUUUGGUGCGUCGGCGCUGAAAUCCGUGGGCUUAACCCACGGGCGCGUGCCGAUACGACUUGACUUGAGGCUCGGAGAGGGUGGGAGAACUCCUGGUGUAGUGGUGAAAUGCGUAGAGAUCAGGAAGAAUACCUGUGGCGCAAGCGCCCACCUGGCCGAGACCAUGACGCUG